UGUCUUUUUAUGCCCCACCUACGAUAGUAGAGGGGCAUUAUGUUUUCUGGUCUGUGCCUCCGUUCGUCCGUCGUCCGUCUGUGCCUCCGUUUGUCUGUCCGCUUCAGGUUAAAGUUUUUGGUCAAGGUAGUUUUUGAAGAAGUUGAAGUCCAAUCAACUUGAAACUUAGUACACUUGUUCCCCAUGAUAUGAUCUUUCUAAUUUUAAUGCCAAAUUAUAGUUUUGACCCCAAUUACAUGGUCCACUGAACAUAGAAAAUGAUAGUGCGAAGUUCAGGUUAAAGUUUUUGGUCAAGGUAGUUUUUGAUGAAGUUAAAGUUACAUCAACUUGAAACUUAGUACACUUGUUCCCUAUGAUAUGAUCUUUCUAAUUUUAAUUCCAAAUUAAAGUUUUGACCCCAAUUUCACGGUCCACUGAACAUAGAAAAUGAUAGUGCGAGUGGGGCAUUCAUGUACUAUGGAC
rnacentral:lncRNA from 1 species